GUGGGGAAUCUUGCGCAAUGGGCGAAAGCCUGACGCAGCCAUGCCGCGUGAAUGAUGAAGGUCUUAGGAUUGUAAAAUUCUUUCACCGGGGACGAUAAUGACGGUACCCGGAGAAGAAGCUCCGGCUAACUUCGUGCCAGCAGCCGCGGUAAUACGCAGGGGGCUAGCGUUGCUCGGAAUUACUGGGCGUAAAGGGCGCGUAGGCGGACAGCUUAGUCAGAGGUGAAAGCCCAGGGCUCAACCUUGGAAUUGCCUUUGAUACUGGCUGUCUUGAGUUUGGGAGAGGUGAGUGGAACUCCGAGUGUAGAGGUGAAAUUCGUAGAUAUUCGGAAGAACACCAGUGGCGAAGGCGACUCACUGGCCCAAUACUGACGCUGAGGCGCGAAAGCGUGGGGAGCAAACAGGAUUAGAAACCCCGGUAGUCC
rnacentral:rRNA from 1 species